rnacentral:rRNA from 1 species
UUAAAGGGUGCGUAGGCGGGCAGGUAAGUCAGUGGUGAAAUCCUGGAGCUUAACUCCAGAACUGCCAUUGAUACUAUCUGUCUUGAAUAUUGUGGAGGUAAGCGGAAUAUGUCAUGUAGCGGUGAAAUGCUUAGAUAUGACAUAGAACACCUAUUGCGAAGGCAGCUUACUACGCAUAUAUUGACGCUGAGGCACGAAAGCGUGGGGAUCAAACAGGAUUAGAUACCCUGGUAGUCCACGCCCUAAACGAUGGAUACUCGACAUACGCGAUACACUGUGUGUGUCUGAGCGAAAGCAUUAAGUAUCCCACCUGGGAAGUACGACCGCAAGGUUGAAACUCAAAGGAAUUGACGGGGGCCCGCACAAGCGGUGGAGCAUGUGGUUUAAUUCGACGCAACGCGAAGAACCUUACCUGGGCUCGAACGGCUUCUCAACGGUCUGUGAAAGCGGGCUAUCCCGCAAGGGAGUGGAGUCGAGGUGCUGCAUGGCUGUCGUCAGCUCGUGUCGUGAGAUGUUGGGUUAAGUCCCGCAACGAGCGCAACCCUUGUCCCGUGUUGCUAAUCCGUAAGGAUGCACUCUCGGGAGACCGCCAGCGAUAAGUUGGAGGAAGGUGGGGAUGACGUCAAGUCAUCAUGGCCUUUAUGUCCAGGGCUACACACGUGCUACAAUGGGCGGUACAAAGCGCUGCGAAACUGCGAAGUGAAGCCAAUCGCACAAAACCGUCCUCAGUUCGGAUUGCAGGCUGCAACUCGCCUGCAUGAAGCUGGA